UGAAUACGAGACGCUAAGGCGUCGAAGUAGUGUAUGUCAUACUUCCAAGAAAAGCUUGCACUGUCAUAGAUAAAAAACGCCUGUACCAUAACCGACACAGGUGGGUAGGUAGAGUAUACUAAGGGGCGCGAGAUAACUCUCUCUAAGGAACUCGGCAAAAUAACUCCGUAACUUCGGGAGAAGGAGUGCCUUAUUCGUAAGGUUGCAAUAACAAGAUCCAAGCAACUGUUCAUCAAAAACACAGGUCUCCGCUAAGUCGUAAGACGAUGUAUGGGGGCUGACGCCUGCCCAGUGCCAGAAGGUUAAAGAAGUUGGUUAGCAAUUGCGAAGCUGAUAACUGAAGCCCUGGUGAACGGCGGCCGUAACAAUAACGGUCCUAAGGUAGCGAAAUUCCUUGUCGGGUAAGUUCCGACCCGCACGAAAGGCGUAAUGAUUUGGAUACUGUCUCGGAGAGGGGCUCGGUGAAAUAGACUUGUCUGUGAAGAUGCGGACUACCUGCACCAGGACAGAAAGACCCUAUGAAGCUUUACUGUAACUUGAAAUUGAAAUUGGACUUUAUUCGCGCAGCAUAGGUGGGAGGCGUUGAUUAUAAUCUUGCGGGAUUAUUGGAGCCAUCAGUGAGAUACCACUCUUGUAAUGUUAGAUUUCUAACUUUGAAUCAUUAUCUGGUCAAAGAACAGUUUCAGGCGGGCAGUUUGACUGGGGCGGUCGCCUCCUAAACGGUAACGGAGGCGUACAAAGGUUUCCUCUGAACGGUUAGAAAUCGUAUCUAGAGUGUAAAGGCAUAAGGAAGCUUGACUGUGAGACCUACAAGUCGAGCAGGGACGAAAGUCGGUCUUAGUGAUCUGACGGUACUGAGUGGAAAGGCCGUCACUCAACGGAUAAAAGUUACUCUAAGGAUAACAGGCUGAUCUCCCCCAAGAGUUCACAUCGACGGGGAGGUUUGGCACCUCGAUGUCGGCUCAUCGCAUCCUGGGGCGGUAGUACGUCCCAAGGGUUGGGCUGUUCGCCCAUGAAAGCGGUACGCGAGCUGGGUUCAGAACGUCGUGAGACAGUUCGGUCCAUAUCCGGUGUAGGCGUUAGAAUAUUGAGAGGAGCCUUCUUUAGUACGAGAGGACCGAGAAGGACAUACCUCUGGUGUACCAGUUAUCGUGCCAACGGUAAACGCUGGGUAGCUAUGUAUGGAGUGGAUAACCGCUGAAAGCAUCUAAGUGGGAAGCCCACCUCAAGAUAAGUAUUCUCAC
rnacentral:rRNA from 1 species